UACGAAGGGGGCUAGCGUUGCUCGGAAUCACUGGGCGUAAAGGGUGCGUAGGCGGCUCUUUAAGUCAGGGGUGAAAUCCUGGAGCUCAACUCCAGAACUGCCUUCGAUACUGAGAGUCUCGAGUCCGGGAGAGGUGAGUGGAACUGCGAGUGUAGAGGUGAAAUUCGUAGAUAUUCGCAAGAACACCAGUGGCGAAGGCGGCUCACUGGCCCGGUACUGACGCUGAGGUGCGAAAGCGUGGGGAGCAAACAGG
rnacentral:rRNA from 1 species